AGGCGAUGAAGGGCGUGCUAAUCUGCGAUAAGCGCCGGUAAGGUGAUAUGAACCGUUAUAACCGGCGAUACCCGAAUGGGGAAACCCAGUGUGACUCGUCACACUAUCAUUAACUGAAUCCAUAGGUUAAUGAGGCGAACCGGGGGAACUGAAACAUCUAAGUACCCCGAGGAAAAGAAAUCAACCGAGAUUCCCCCAGUAGCGGCGAGCGAACGGGGAGGAGCCCAGAGCCUGAAUCAGCAUGUGUGUUAGUGGAAGCGUCUGGAAAGGCGCGCGAUACAGGGUGACAGCCCCGUACACAAAAGCGCAUGUGCUGUGAGCUCGAUGAGUAGGGCGGGACACGUGGUAUCCUGUCUGAAUAUGGGGGGACCAUCCUCCAAGGCUAAAUACUCCUGACUGACCGAUAGUGAACCAGUACCGUGAGGGAAAGGCGAAAAGAACCCCGGCGAGGGGAGUGAAAAAGAACCUGAAACCGUGUACGUACAAGCAGUGGGAGCACCCUUUGGGUGUGACUGCGUACCUUUUGUAUAAUGGGUCAGCGACUUAUAUUCUGUAGCAAGGUUAACCGAAUAGGGGAGC
rnacentral:rRNA from 1 species